rnacentral:rRNA from 1 species
GCUAGCGACGUGCCUAAGGUAUGCAAGUCGAAUGCCGAUUUAUCGGCAUGGCAGACGGCUGAGUAAUACAUGGGAAUCUACCUCAAACUCGAGAAUAGCCCAUCGAAAGGUGGUGUAAUACUCGAUAGUUCCGUUUACGGUAAAGCUCCGGCGGUUUGAGAUGAGCCCAUGUCCUAUCAGGUUGUUGGUGGGGUAAUUGCCUACCAAGCCUAUGACGGGUAGCUGGUUUGAGAGGAUGAUCAGCCAGACUGGGACUGCGAUACGGCCCAGACUCCUACGGGAGGCAGCAACUAGGAAUCGUGCGCAAUGGACGAAAGUCUGACGCUGCGACGUCGCGUGAGGGAUGAAGGUCUUCGGAUCGUAAACCUCUUUUAUCUGGGAACAAGUUCUGAGUGUACCAGAUGAAUAAGUGCCUGCCAACCACGUGCCAGAAGCAUCGGUAAUGCGUGGGGCACGAGCGUUAUCCGGAUUUACUGGGCGUAAAGAGAUGCGUAGGCGCCUUUUUAAGUCACUUGUAAAAUCUCCCCGCUCAACGGGGAAACUGCAAGUGAUACUGAAUUGGUUGAGUCAAGUAGAGGAGAGGGGAAUUCCUGGUGGAGCGGUUAAAUGCGUUGAUAUCAGGAGGAAUACCAAGUGCGAAGGCACCUCUCUGGACUUGUACUGACGCUAAGGCUCGAAAGUGUGGGGAGCAAAACGGAUUAGAUACCCGUGUAGUCCACACUGUAAACGAUCCCUGCUAGAUGUUUGC